rnacentral:sRNA from 1 species
UCUGCCCAUGCGGGGAAGGAUGAGAAGCUUCGACUAAGGUUCGGCUCGAGCGUCAGCGAGAGAGCGUUGCCGCAGGCAACGACCCGAAGGGCGAAGCGCGCAGCGCUGAGUAAUCCUUCCCCCACCACCA